AUGAACGCUGGCGGCGUGCCUCAUCCAUGCAAGUCGCGCGAACGGACGAGAAGCUUGCUUCUCUGAUGUUAGCGGCGGACGGGUGAGUAACACGUGGAUAACCUACCUAUAAGACUGGGAUAACUUCGGGAAACCGGAGCUAAUACCGGAUGAUAUUUUGAACCGCAUGGUUCAAAAGUGAAAGACGGUCUUGCUGUCACUUAUAGAUGGAUCCGCGCUGCAUUAGCUAGUUGGUAAGGUAACGGCUUACCAAGGAAACGAUGCAUAGCCGACCUGAGAGGGUGAUCGGCCACACUGGAACUGAGACACGGUCCAGACUCCUACGGGAGGCAGCAGUAGGGAAUCUUCCGCAAUGGGCGAAAGCCUGACGGAGCAACGCCGCGUGAGUGAUGAAGGUCUUCGGAUCGUAAAACUCUGUUAUUAGGGAAGAACAUAUGUGUAAGUAACUGUGCACAUCUUGACGGUACCUAAUCAGAAAGCCACGGCUAACUACGUG
rnacentral:rRNA from 1 species